rnacentral:rRNA from 1 species
GAGUUUGAUCCUGGCUCAGGAUGAACGCUAGCGGCAGGCUUAACACAUGCAAGUCGAGGGGUAUAGGUUUUCGGACCUAGAGACCGGCGCACGGGUGCGUAACGCGUAUGCAAUCUGCCUUUUACAGAGGGAUAGCCCAGAGAAAUUUGGAUUAAUACCUCAUAGUAUUAUGAAGUGGCAUCAUUUUAUAAUUAAAGUUCCAACGGUAAAAGAUGAGCAUGCGUCCCAUUAGCUAGAUGGUAAGGUAACGGCUUACCAUGGCGACGAUGGGUAGGGGUCCUGAGAGGGAGAUCCCCCACACUGGUACUGAGACACGGACCAGACUCCUACGGGAGGCAGCAGUGAGGAAUAUUGGUCAAUGGGCGCAAGCCUGAACCAGCCAUGCCGCGUGCAGGAUGACGGUCCUAUGGAUUGUAAACUGCUUUUGUACAGGAAGAAACACUGGUUCGUGAACCAGCUUGACGGUACUGUAAGAAUAAGGAUCGGCUAACUCCGUGCCAGCCGCCGCCGUAAG